CUUGCUAUGUUGCCCAGGCUGGUCUGGAACUCUGGGCUCAAACAAUCCUCCUACCUCAGCCUAACAAAGUGCUGGGAUUACAGGAUUUAGAAAGAAUGAAAAACUAUGCUGCUGAUGCUGUCAGCUUCCCAGAAUCCUCUCCCAAGUUAAUUCAAUUGCUGUACAGGAAGCAUGACUGGGAAGGCCUCAGGAAACUUACAGUCAUGGGAAAAGCAGGAAGAAGAAGCGAAAUGAAAGGUGCUACACACUUUUAAACAACCAGAUCUCAGGAAGACUCGCUAUUAUGAGAACAGCAAGGGAGAAAUCCGCCCCCAUGAUCCCAUCACCUCCUACCAGGCCUCUCCUCCAACACUGGGGAUUACAGUUCAUCGUGGAGGAGGACACAAAUCUAAACCAUAUUACCAGGCUGGGUUGGAUUUUCCUUUCUUAUUCUGGCAUAGCGCCAUGUUGGUUUUUUUUUUCAAAUAAAAAAAGACAUGAUUUAUAAGUUUACAAUUA